rnacentral:rRNA from 1 species
CCUACGGGAGGCAGCAGUAGGGAAUCUUCCACAAUGGGCGAAAGCCUGAUGGAGCAACGCCGCGUGAGUGAAGAAGGAUUUCGGUUCGUAAAACUCUGUUGUAAGGGAAGAACAAGUAGCGUAGUAACUGGCGCUACCUUGACGGUACCUUAUUAGAAAGCCACGGCUAACUACGUGCCAGCAGCCGCGGUAAUACGUAGGUGGCAAGCGUUGUCCGGAAUUAUUGGGCGUAAAGCGCGCGCAGGUGGUCCUUUAAGUCUGAUGUGAAAGCCCACGGCUCAACCGUGGAGGGUCAUUGGAAACUGGGGGACUUGAGUGCAGAAGAGGAUAGUGGAAUUCCAAGUGUAGCGGUGAAAUGCGUAGAGAUUUGGAGGAACACCAGUGGCGAAGGCGACUAUCUGGUCUGUAACUGACACUGAGGCGCGAAAGCGUGGGGAGCAAACAGGAUUAGAUACCCUGGUAGUCCACGCCGUAAACGAUGAGUGCUAAGUGUUGGGGGGUUUCCGCCCCUCAGUGCUGCAGCUAACGCAUUAAGCACUCCGCCUGGGGAGUACGGUCGCAAGACUGAAACUCAAAGUGAAUUGACGG